CAAACAAAUAGGUGAGGUCGUAUUAGGCGCAGAAAACGAGGAUAUCGAAUGAGACUGAGGAAAAAAUAUAGGUCUAGCGUGAGCUCUGCAGACAACUCCAACAAAAUGACAACCCAGAAACAAGAAUACUACACUAUAAGAAUUUCUAGCAAAAAGGGAUGAGAGAAGAAUCCACAACAAAAUAGACAAAAAUGCACAAACGACAGCUGAUCUGAACAACACGUUACGGAGGCCAUAUAAUACGAUAAUCAGGCGGGUAUUAGAUUGGAAUCCACAAGGAAGAUUCAAAACUGAAGUUGUAAACUGCGAACCCUGGAUAACUGAACUGCAGAAACAUCAUAAUGAAUUUGAGCCGUAAAACUCUUAAAAAUUUUAACACUAAUCGUUUUUAUGAAAUAGAAAUUCUCUCCUGAUCAAAAACAUCAAUUAUUAUGCAAAUUAAUGUUGCACGAAAGAUCCAAAAUAAUCAUAAUUUAGACGCACAAAAUGUGGCUACCUCGACUGCCUAGGAAAAUCAUCAUCAUUUGAUAAGAAAGGAAAUGGAAGUGGCUUAGAACAAGCAAAGGUUAGAGUUUAUUAGUAUAAUCAACGACACAAAAAUUUUUUGGAUUAAGUUUUGCGGAAAAAUAAAUAAUAUAUUCAUAGAAAGCCAUCCUUCCUAAAACACUAAAAUCAAUAUAACUAUAAAGUUAGUAUUAACGGCACACAACAUCCUAUAUUCAUCGGCACAUUCAUGUACUAUCAUAAUUUGUGAUCUGAAAAUAUUAAAACAAAAAGCAACAUGUUUUUAUGUUUGUUAUAUAAUAAUUAUUUAUUAAUGUGUAUGUAAUGCAAUUUUAGUUGUACAAAAUUGAAAUAAGAUACAUAAUAUACACCUUAGAGCUCUAACAGACAUCCAAAUACUAGUUUUGCAUGCAACUGUAUGAUCGCAUGCAACUAAGUAAUUAAACAACUUUUAAUUUUUAACAAACUGAUUGCAAUUAAAUAAUAUCAAAUGAUUUAGUUUAAGUGUGAGCACAAUUAAUUUGUUAUCAAACUGUAAUUGCAAGACUAUAAAAAUGUCCACUGUCAGAACCAUUAAAAAACUAAAAAACAAAUUAACAUUUAUUAACUGUAUAUGGUAAAAAUUCUUUUAAAUAUUCAUAAUCUUUUGGACAUGUUUUAAAAUCACAUUUAACAUUCUUUGAAAUUUUAUUUUUUGUUGUUGAAGGAGGACAUUGAAAAGCAUCAGUAAAUUCUUUCAUAUGUUGAAAUACACGAGAUUCAUAAACAUCAUAUUCCUUCUUUGAUUCCUUACAAAAAUCCUGUGUUAUUGAUAUAAAAAAUAAUUUUCUAAUAUCGAUUAAUUCAUUUGCAAUUUCAAUUUCAUUUUUUAAUAAAUCUUUUGUAUUAUAAUCAUUUAAUAUUUUUUUAAUUAUUGUAUAUGUAUUUACAUAUGUUUUAUGUGGUAUAAAAUUAAAAGAAUGAAUCCAAUUAAAUUUAUUUAAACAAAUAUGAUAUUCAUCAUUAAAUUGAUUAUUAUAAUAUUGAUAAUUUUGAAAAUAUUCAUAUAAUAAUUUAAAAUUUAAUACAUUAUAAUAAUAUAAAUAUGGUUUAUUUUUA